rnacentral:sRNA from 1 species
AUAAUUUAAAAUAUAUAUAUUAUUUAUAUGGGCGUAUAUACGAUUCGAAAAAAGUUUUUACACGGUACAAUAUAAAAAUCCACCACGCAAAAGGAAAAUUUAAUAAACCUUUUAAUUGCCCUGCAUAUAAUAUUAUUAACGAGGAGCCGGAUUGUAUAAUAAAUAAUACCGACGAGUGGAAUAACCACGUUGCAAAAGUUUAUGGCGAAUAUAACGCCCCGGUUAUACCAAAUGCAAACCGGACUAGCUUUCGUCGCAAACGGAAAAAAAGUAAUAAUAAUUUACAAUUGGAAAAAAGGGAAAUUAAAUAUUGCGAACCAAAUUUGUCAAAAUUUCGAAAGGUAAAAAAAAAUAAUAAAAACCGAUUGGAAAAAUAUAAAAAUAAAAAGGUUUUGUGCCUUUUUUGCGGAUUAAUAACGUCUUUUGGACGCAUUUUUUCCGCGCAUUUAAAUAGGAAAUAUCGGGAACUGUUUAAAUCAAAAUUUUUUUAUUCCACGUAUUUGAAAUUGGGUCGCGAAAUAUAUAUUUUUUACCGAUAUAAUUGGAUACGUUAUUUGUCGGAAAAUUAUAGUGGGGAUAACGGUGCAUUAUUUGUCGAAAUUGGUAAAAAUAAAAAUUUAACGGCCACCAAAAGGGAAAUAAAAACAUUAAGCAUUUUGGAUAUUUUUAUCGAUCCCAUUUUGAAAUUUAAUUCUGUUUAAUAGAAGGAUUUAUAUUAUUGGUUUUUUUUUAAAUUUAUUUUUAAAAUAUAUAUAAUUAAUAACCAUAACGGUUUGGUAAAUUUUUCGUUGGAUUAAUAAUAGUAGCCGUAAUUACCGCCCCCGUUUUAAAAUACCAAUUUUAUUUUUAUUAAUAUUACGGAAUUACCGUACGUAUAUGCGUGGGUUUUGACCAAAAUAAUUGUUCGCGGCGAACUCCAAAUAUUUACAAUAAAUAUAUUUUUUCUUUUUCUUUUUUUCUUUUUUUUUGUUUUUUUUCCUUUAUUUUUUAUUUUUGCAAAAGGAUAAAAAUGGGAAUAUAUACGCCCCGCAAUAUUAUAUUAAAUAUAUUUAAAAAAGGGAUUUUUACCCCUAUUACAAAAAUAUUUAAAAAUGCCAUAAAUAUGGAAAAAAUAUGGAAAGAAUAUGGAAAAAAUAUGGAAAAAAUAUGGAAACAAUAUGGAAAAAACAUGGAAAAAACAUGGAAAAAAUAUGGAAAAAAUAUGGAAAAAACAUGGAAAAAAUAUGGAAAAAGCAUGGAAAGGGGUCCGUAUAAAUUGCAAUAUAUAUAAUAUUUUAUAACGAAACCCGCGCAAAAAUGCGUCCCUGGUCCGUUAGGUAUUUAACAUUCGUACCUUUUGGCGUUUUGUAACGAGGUUAAUUUGCAUACCAGGUAUAAUUUGCAACGGCUUUCAAACAUUACCCCACAAAAACACUGAAAUUUAAAAGCUAUUAUAAUAUAAAAAAACUAUAUUAAAUAUAUUUACAACUGUUAAUGUUUUGGAAAAUAAUUAACGUUGUAAAAUACAAUUUUCGAAUCCGUAACAGUAAAUUUUAAAUAUAAAAACCGGAAUAUAUUAACAACAGCUAUUUAUAUUUUAAUUAACCAGCCAUUUUUAUAUAACGCAGUUUUUAACCAAUAUUUAUUUUAAAAUGGAUUGCGAUUGAAAAAUUUGCAAUAAUUUCCAUAAAUCCUCCGAUUAAAAGGCAAAUUAUAGUUAAAUUCUUUUGUAAACGCUUUAACAAAUAAUUUGACACGUUUUUUGCAUUAGCAUUGGAAAAAAUACAGUCCGAAUAAACGUAUUUUGGAGGGUGUUUUUGAAAGGUGCCAUUAGGGCAAUUUGCAAAGCUGCAUUUGUAACCUGUCCAUUGUUAUAUAACCAAAAAACGAAAGGUAAAACUUAAUAAUAAUUUGGAUUUACGCAACCACUACCCAAAUUCCCGUAUUUUGUAACGUUAUUAUAUUGCGUUUUAAUUUUAACAGUUAUUUAAAUAUAUACGGUAUUACGAAAUACGAUGGCGUGGUAGGGGUAUAGCGCUGUGGCGCGCAGCGGCGCAUAGCGUAAUAGCGUAUGCAAUUUCAUUUUUUAAAUUGGGCGCUUAAUAUUAAUAUUAAUAUUAAUUUUAAUAUUAACGUUAAAAUAAACAGUUUCUUCCAAUUAGUUAACCGCCGUUAAAACGUUUUCGCAUUUUCGAUUUUUAUUUUAAUUAACGAAUAUUAAAUUCGCGUUUACCAGGAAAUUUAUAUAAAUUGUGCAAUAAUAAAAUAAAGAUUUUUGCUUUAAUUUAAUAUACGACGUUAAAAUUCGUUACCUGGAAAAUAAUACCACCAAAUAUUAAUUAUUUAAUUAAUAACCGAAAUUUAAAUUUAUUCCGAAAAAUUAUAACGUUCGAAUUUAAUGGAAUAAAAAUGGCCAUUUAUAUUAAAUAUAACGGUUUAACAAAAUAUUUCGUUACCGACGAAAAUUUUCAACCGAAUUAAAACGCGGAAACAAACGCGAAAAUAAUAAUUCCGCUAACCCAGAUUUCGAAUAAAAAAAAAUAUAAAUAUAAUAAUAAUUUAUCGUUUAAUUUUGUUUUAUUUUUAAUAUUUGGCAAUUUUAUAUUUUCCGCACCAAAUUUGGAUAUACUCCGAACCGAAUUACCGUUAAAAAACGGUUUUUUUAUAUAAAAUAAUUUUUCGAUUUGCGUUUUUAAUACCCCGGUUCUGGAUAAUAUUAAAUUUUCAAAACUGCGUUUUCCAAUUCCGAUAUUUUAUUUUUCGGUUUUUGUGGAAUUCUUUUAAUUUUAUUUUAUAUUAUUAAAAUCCGGUUCCCCAAUUAUUUCGCCGUUGCCGAAUUAUUAUUUUUUUGUGGAAAUUUUUGUAAAAAAUAAUAAUUUGGCCCAUUUGUUUUAAAUUUCGGCAAUAAAUACCGCGGAAUUUCCCCGUUUAUUUCCAAAUUCUUUUUUUUUAUUAUGUUCGAAUUUUGGUCCCCCGGAAAUUAAUUUUUCGGUCCAAUUUCCAAAUAUUUAUUUAAUACGCCGAUUUAUUUCGGCAAAUUUAACCAUUUCCGAACGUUUAUUCGAAUUAAAUUAUAUAAUUAAUAUAAUAAAUAUUUUUCCAAUAAACGGAAGGUCGAAAAAAAAUGGAUCCAAUAAAUAUUUAAUUUCGUUUGGUAAAUAUUUAAAAUAAUUUGUUUUAACGUAAUUUUAUAAUAAUUAAAAAUAAUACCAUUAAUUAUCGUUAAUAAUAUUAUUAAAAUAGUUUUUCCCUAAACGUAUAUAAUUUGAAAAAUUUAAAUUAUAACGGCGUUUAAUUUAAUAACGCAAUUUGGUAAUAUAAACCCUAUUAUAUCGUUUUUUUAAUACCGUUAUAAUAUAAAAUUAAAUUUUAUUAUAUUUUAAUAUUGCGAAAUAAAAUUAUCGACGCCCCGGCCGUAUUUUUUAUAUACAAAUUUAUAUCCGAAAAAUUAUUUUUUCGAUAAAUAAAACCUAAUUUUUAUUUUAUAAUUUGGACGGUUGCCGGGGCGUUUGUCGAUAAUAUAAUUUUAAAAAUCGAUUUUGUUUUUAACCAUUUUAUUAUAUAAUUUGGAAAAUGUUUUUUUAUUUCGAACCCGGAUUAAUUUUGCAAAUUACCAUUUUAUUUUUUAUUUUACCACAUUUUGAAAAUAUUUGUAAUUAAUUUUUCGUUAAUAAAAAUAAUUUUUGGUAUUAUAUUAUAUAUAUCGCGUAUUAAACCACCGCAAUUAAUUAUAAAAACGUGCAUUCCAAUUUUAAACAAAACAAUUAA